UAGGAGCAAAACCUGGAUGGACAAGAGUCAGCUUUCCUUACUACAUGUCAAAUGAAGAGUUUGAAUACAUUCUUGCGGCGUUGGAGUUCGUAGCCAUCUAUGGCCAACGAUUUCUUCCUCUAUACCAUUUCAACCUGAGAACUGGCAGCUGGACUUUCAAGAAGAAGGCGCUUAAGGACCUGGUAGGAAAGGAGAAUAGUCACGGCAUCCAUGUCUUGCCUUUGGCUAGUGCUUUUCAGACAAUAAGCUUGGACCGUGACAAAAUUGAUGCAGGAAAGAAUGAUACUCAUGUCAUGCUUCAGUAUGCAUCAUAUUUGAAAGGUGCCAAACGAGUCGCUGCUCUCCUUCCCAAGUUUCCAUCUCGAAGGAGGUUUCACGAAGAUUUAAAUCUUAACCUCCUCCCUUUCAGAGUCUAACUAUACUAUCAAAAAUGGAUUCGAGUUAAUAAUCAAAUUUAUCUAUCUUUCCUCACUUCAUUGGAAUAUUUUCACAAAGCAAAAGCAGAAAUUAAACUAGCUCAAGCCUGUCAUGUUAGCAGACUCUCCAAUUACCUGAAAUCUGUUGCAAUGCCUGACAAAUUGGCUGAUACGUAAUCCAAUCUGGUCAAGACUUGUCUAAUAAUGGUGUCUUGCCCCAAAAGUAAGAUGUAACACCGUUAUAUUAUCUUCAAAUAAAACCUUAAAGUAAUACGAAAUUUUUUCUCUUAACCAUUUUAAAAUUCUUUAAUAAAAAUAAUUUGCCCAAGUAAAUUUCAUAAAUUUAAUCUAACUAAUGAUACAUCUCUAUAUAUUCAAAGGUUAAUUAAUAAAAAACAUAUAAAAUAAUUUCAUAAGAUCUCACUAGCUAACAAUAUUUCUAAUGUCCAAGUAAUAUUUUCAAUUUGAUCUUCUAGCUUUUAAGAAGACUAAACAAACUUAUCAGUUACUCAUGUGUAAAGAAAAGGUAGAAAGAGAAUGAACAAAUUACAGCUAAGCUAGUAUAGGAUCAUACACUUUAUCGGAUCAAACAUCGGUUUCAUACAUAUCAUAUAGAUAAUUCAAAACAUUUGUCAAAUAAUACAUCAAAAUAUUUCAAAAAUCAACAUUAUGUCAAAUAUUUUGUAGAUCAUAAAUGAAAAUCAAAAUAGAUCAAUUCAUUAAUCAUUGCAAAAUAUGUUACCAUUCAAAUAUCAUAAUCAAAUCAAAUCAUGAAUCAAUCUUUAAAAUCAUCAUCAUCAUAAAUCAUCAUUAUCAUUAGUUUAUCAUUAACUAUGAUCACUAUUAUAAUCCGUAACAUUGGCCAUAUCGAUAAUUUUAUCCUUAUGAUCUUUACUAACUAUUAUAACCUGUUGGCCAAACCAUUACACUAACUACUAUGACCCACUAGUCAUACCAUUUGAUCGUUACUAUGUUAACUACUAUAACUAGUUUUGGUAUCGAUAAUCCCACUUCUCAAUAUGUAAAAUAUGUAGCUAUUAUAAAAUUAUUCAUUAAACAUAAAUCAAUUUCUCAUUUCAUUUAUAAACAUGAUCCAUCAUUUAUAUAGCAAAAUGUAAAAUAAUCAUAUGCUCACCCUAUUUUCUUAUAUCGAAAAUAAAGAAAUAAAUUUCAUUUAUUUAAAACAUACAUAUAUACAUAAGUUUCAAAACAAGUAAAGUGUAUGAGAUUCUACUUAUUUCUUUUCGGUUCCACCACUUAGUUUUUCCCUCAAAAUAAUUAAUGGGCUAUUCAAAAUCAUUUCAAUAGAACAGAAAUUAAUCAAUCCAUUUUAAGACCAUUAAUACUAAAAACAACUAAGUUAUAUAAAAGUUAACUAACUAAUUUUGGUAACCUGAGCUACUUUCACUAAAAUGACCCUAUCUUAAGAUAUCCAACUCAAAAUUAAAAUCUUUUUAGUAUAUUAAACUCGACAAAAUUUUUAACCAUAUAUGGCCCACCUUGUAAUUUCUUAUAGAUUAAUUGUAAUAACUUUUGCAAUCUAUUCAUUGCUGCCAUCAGAUAGUAUGUAUAUCUUCUAAUAAAAAUUAUAUAUUUAUUCAUAAAAGACUCUAAAUUCAAUUCAGCUUGUUUAAUCAAAAAGUAGACUAAAAAAAGCUUUUCAAACGUAUAUGGCCCACCUCAUAAUUUAUUGUAGAUUAAUUGUAAUAAUUUUUGCAAUCCAUGUCAUAUGCUACUACCAACAAAACAUGUAUAUAUUCUAAUCAAAAUGAUAUAUUUAUUCGUAAAAGACUCCAAAUUCAAUUCAGCUUGUUUCAUUGGAAUGUAUACUCAAUAACCUUUUUAAACAUGUAUGGCUCAAUUCGUAAUUCAUUGUAUAAAAAUUAAGACAAAUUUUCUAAUUCCUCAUUGCUGCUGUUGUCAGGCAGCCUAUAUAUCAUUAAGUAAAAAUUAGACAACUCUUAAUAGAAAACUUAGAUUCGAUUUACAUUUGUUUCAUUAGAAAGUAGAUUCAGUAAGUUUUCCAACAAUGUAUAAUACUUAAAGUAAUAAUUUAUCCAUUAAUACAAAUUCCAUUUUGAUUCACUUUUGCAAAUCAUAACAUCUCAUCCAAAAAUAGAAUUUCUCCUUCAAUCUUUAGGAUGAAAAAAUAUGAAAAAGGCAUAACAUAUAGCCAAUUGAAAGAACAAUGUCUCAAUAUAACUUACACGAUUUUAGUAAACUACUUCCUGUAUCAUAUGCUAAGAUCAAGGUAUAAAAUAAUUUCAGUAUUGAAUAUUUAAAUUUCUUUACCUUAUAUAUUCAAUAGGCAUUUUAGACUUCCAGAACCUAAUAUCAAUCCUAUAGUCAGCCAAUUUGAAAAUUUGUGUGAGGCUUAUUAACAUAAAUAAAAAAACAGUAUACCCAAGGGUACACAGAGAAAAUCAACGAACUUGUCUAUUGUAAACUAAAGGUUAUUCCUAAUUUUGAUACUACUUUCCUGUUUCUUUCCAUCAUUUGGUUCUCAAUAAACAAAAUGAUAUCCAAGUUCUUUGAAAAUCCCUAGAGCUGAUGGUUGUUACUCAAGUUCAUUUGGUUUUAGGACAAUGCACCUGUUCUUCAAUCUUAUUUACUGAUGUUUGAAGAAAUGAACAAUAAUUGCUGUAAAACAACAUAAAAUCAUUGUGCUACACCACCAUUCUGUAAUAUAAUCCAUCAAUCUAGGUCACGAAUAAAAAGAAUUGAGGAAUUCAAUUCACACAGUACCUUAUGGGUGAAUUUGAACAUACCACUCUAUCCUAAUCCUUUAUUAGCAUGUAUGAUGUCAUGUAUAUGCAAUCACGCCAAAUAGCCUUUUAAAAAGCUAUCACAGGAACCCCUCAUAAUAUGUGAAUCGCAAAAUCUUAGUACUUGAUUCCAAAAUCAAUUAUAAAAUAACAAAUAAUAUCAAUAUACAUAGAUAUAAUAAUCUUAUGCCAUGUUUGGUAUAUAAGAUUAUAACUUGAUAGGGUACAAUGAUAUUAUAAAUAUAAUUAGAUUAAAUAAUGUUAUCUUGUUUUGUGUUUGCUAUAUGUAAAGAUUAGGAUAGGAUAAUUUAUUUAUUUGUCAAAAUUGUCUUUAUUCAAAGUUUAUAUAAAUUAUUAAAGUAAUUUUUAAGGGUAUAAUUGAACCUGUAAGUUUAAUCUAUAAAUUAAAAGUUAUCCUCUCUACAUUGAGAGGAUUGAAUAAUCCUAUACCAAAAAGAUAUUAAUCCUCAUUGCAAACCUUACGAAUAUUCUUCAUAUUCUAUCAAUAAUCAUAUGUAUCAAAUAUGACCUUAAUCUACUAUUUUAGUAGAACUACUCUAACACAGAGAGUCGUCUCUUAUGAAGUCCAGUUCAACAUCCAAAUUUUUGUUUAGAAAACAAUCUUUCCACCACCAUUGCUCUUUAUAUAGUCUUCAUCUUUGCUUUAUAAACUCCCUAUUGAUGUCCUAUUAGGAUAUAGAGCGAGAAUUGUUCAUAAGUGGGCUAUCAUUAAUAGUUGGUUUUAAUAAUUUAAUAAAAUUGGUUGAUGUGUUUACUCUUAAUAUGAGAUAAGCAUGAGAGUUUAAAUAAUUUAAUGUGAUUACUUAAAUGUAAGAUUUGCACAUCUUACUAAAUCAAUCUGGUUUGAAGGUUUUAUAGACCUUUAGUCUAGUAAGUGUUUGAUGAUGAGGCUUUAAGGGUUUUCAAUUAAAAUAGGUUUAAAUAACUUUUUUUUUUUUUACUUUUAUACGAGUUACGGUUACUGCUCAUUGAGUGUCACCAAUAAGAGAAGAGUGACAAGGAAGACCUAGGCACUUUAAGGAUUGUUUUGCUUCGGUAUAUUUAUCAUGACCACCCAAAUAAGUAUAACGAAUCUCUUUAUUUGUUAUGAUGUUCUAAUUAUCAAACAAUGAUCUUGGGUUAAUGUUUACAUAUGGUAUCAGAGCUAUCAUUAUGUGAUAUUAGGACCCUAAAAUCAUGAUUUGUAAUUGAUUUUUGAACAAACAACAUAUUUAGGGUGAAAUUACAUUGUUGUCAAAAUUUUAAAUUUUUGUUCUUUAUUUUUUGAAAUUGAUUUAGAAUUUUAAUUUCUCUUUAAAAAAAGAUUAAAAUUAUAUAAAGAUCAUUUUCUAAUUCCUUAUAUCGGGAGAGAAAUCAAGGUUGAAAAUUUUUAGGUUUAAGUUUUAAUCUAAAUUCUCGUUUUGAUUAAAACAUCAAACAUUUGAUGUGUUUAAUUCAAAAUUGGUUCUUGAAUCAUGUUUCUCAUGUGUUUUAAAGUUAAAUCAAAGCAUUUAAUUUCAUAUUGUUUUAGAUUGACCAAACAAGAAGAAAAUAAAAAGAGGUCUAAUAUGUGUUUAUGUAAUUUGAAAAUUUUUGACCAAUUGAUCUUAUUUUUGUCAUUUUUUUAUACCUUUUUUUCAUGGGUUUGAUAGAAAAAUGGUUUUAUUUUUUGGCACUUCAAUUUGAUGAAAAUACCAAGAAAAUGCAUAAAAAAUGAUGAAAAAAAUACGAACAAACCAGAAUAGGUAAAGAAUUGUUUCAGUCACAUUGAGUCAACCUAAUUGGAGGUUAAAGAAGACCAUUCCCCAUGUUGAACAAAAUCCAUUAAUAGUGGAUGGCGCUUGUGGCACGUGUGGGUACAUCUAGCAUUCAUUCAUUGCUCAUUAAUUACUAUAUGUUAUACACAUGAUUUUAUUAUUUUAUUUUGUGAUAAAAUAUUUUGAUAUGUUGGGAGUCUAAUAAUAGUAAGUAUUCUUCCUAAAUAGGCCUUGAUAUUUAUGUACUCUCAUGUUGAAUUUUAAGUGCAUAAUUGAUUUAGUAAUUAAAAAUUGAUUUUAAAAAAUAUUCAAGAUUCUAGUUUAAAUUUAAUGUACACUGCUUAUAAGACCUAAUUAGAUACAUUUAGGUUUAGUAUCUUAGUUGGGAUAGUCCAUUGCAUACAUUAUGGUUGAGUAUGUAAACUGAGAGUUUUGGGCAAUUAAUGAAAUUUUUCGAUUUGAAAAAAUCUCCAUUAAUUGAUAUUCAUGUUUGGUUGUCAAAGUGGCUCACUUAUUGAAAUUAAUGUAAUGUUUUAUCAUUCUAUGGUUAUGUGAUGGUUAUUAAAUUAUCUUAUGCAAUUGAUUGCCUAAAGGGGGUUAAUGUAUAGGGUAAUUUGUUUUGGAUAUAAAUUAUCAUGGUUGAAGUUGUACCAAUCUACAAAAUCUAUCUGCUCGAAGGGGAUAUGUUUUUUGAAAGCUAGGACAUUUUCAUAUUAGCUUUAUGCGAAAAGUUUCUACUUGCAUAUUACAUUCUUUAUCCAAAAUGGAGUUUGUGGUGAUGCAUCAAGACCUUUCAAUAAUUGUUAGUAUAUCAUGAACUGUUGCUAUAUAUUUUAUGAUAUUGCCUAUUUACUAAUGUUGCAUUUUUGUCUUAAAUGUUGACUUUUAUUGUCAAUAAUAAUAAGCCACUAUUAAAGUUCUUCACGGGUCUAAUUAUAAAAAAUGGAAUGAAGAGUUGAAUUUUGCUUUGGUUAUGAAUGAGAUAGACAUAGCCUUACGUUUUUCAAAGCUUGCUAAUUUUACUGAUGAAAGCAUGGCUGAACAAAAAGAAUUUUUUCCCAAAUGGAAAAAGGCAAAUUGUAUGCAUCUAUAUGUCAUUACUAGGUCUUUUUUUGAAUACCUUUUGAGUGAGUUGGAUACCACAAAAUUGCUAGGGAUCUCUAUCAUACUGUAGGUAAUAAAUAAGAAAAAUCCAAUAAGUGUAAAGCUAAGAACCUUAUGAGUGAGCUUACAAGUAUAAGGUAUGACAGUGUUGAGAGUGUUAAAGAUUUCAUCAUCAGAAUAGUCCAUAUUCAAACCAAAUUGACUUCUCAUGAAAUUGUCCUUCCUGAUAAAUUCAUUGUUCAUCAUGCCCUUAUUACUUACCUUACUUGUUGACUUUACUCAGAUCAAAACUAUCUAUAAUGCUAAGAAUGAGGUUUAAAAUGUUAAUGAUUUUAUUUAAAAGAAUGUCUCUAAGAAAAACUAGAGAAAGAAAAAGGUGACGGUGUUUUUUUGGCUACAUACUCCAAACAUAAUUAAAAAAGAAAUUAUGGAAAAUCUGGAAAAUUUGUUCCUAAUGCUCACAAGAAAGUUUAAGAAAACAAGGGACAAGGUAGUGGUCAGACUAAAAAGGUAAGAGGUUUUAAAGCCGUCAUUAAGAAAGAUGUUAAGUGUUUUUCCUGUAAAAAGAAUGUCAUAUGAAACAUGAGUACCCUAAAUAUCAAGCUUGGUUAAAGAAAAAGAAUAAACAAUAAGGUAACUCACUAGCUCUUAUUUGUUUUAAAUUCUAUUUUGUCAGUGGCCCACCAAACUCCUUAAUAUAUAUUAGGCUAUUUAUCAAGAAAUAUAUAUUUAAAAAAUUAUUUAGUUAUCGAAAACUUUCAAAUUUUAGAUGUAAGUAUUAUGGGAUAUGUAAAUGCCUAUAUAUAUAUAUAUAUAAUUUUUUGACGCAUAAGAAUUUACCACAAAAAAUUAACUUACAUGGAUAUCUACAUGGAUAAUUUUUCAAUUGUUAACAAUAAAAUCUAAUUUAGAUAUAUUUUUAUUAAAAAUAAAUUUCCUAAUAAUAUAAACAUAUUUUUUAAAUUUAAAAAUCUCAAUUGUAAUAAUAUAUUAUCUCUAAAAUGGGUUUAUAAAAUAAUUCUAUUUGAUAAGUUAUUUAAAUUCAAAAUGAAAACCUAUGAAAUAUGAAAAAUUUUGUAUAAAUCUUGAAUUAAAAAAUGUCAAUUCUAGAAUUUUUCUUUUUUUUAAUUUAAUCAUUUUUCAAGAAUAUAUGUGGACCAUAAAUUUUGAAUACAUAUUUCAAUUAAAAUUGAUUAGAUUUGUUUUUUACUAUUUCAAAUUUGAAAGAUAUGUUGUAUUUUUUAAUUCUCUUAUCAUUAGAUUAUUUUAAAAAUUUAAUCCUAGCCACAGUCACCAAUCAUUUUAUCAUUACCAUUGCCAAGUUUGCGUCUAAAUUAGCAAUGAAAGGCAUCGAUGAAAAUUUUUUGUUGUUUCAUUCCAAUCACAAUCACCCAUCAUUUUAUUAUUUGAGAAGAAUCCUAAUUUGUAACUAAAUCACUUAUAUGUUGUGACGUAAUCAAUUUUAUUUGUGUUUCGUUAAAUGAUUUAUAGGUAGAGCUAGAGAUCCAACUGUUUAAGAAAAGAGCUAAGGACAAAGAACUUCUCUUUUAUAUUAAUUGAUCUUUAUAUUAAUGUCGUUUUUUUUUUAAAUUAAGUAGUAAUUUAGUAAUUAAUAUUAUUAUUACAUGUAGGAAAAACCCAAAAAUUAUUUGGGUAUGAGACAUCCUUUGAACUCUAAAGGUCAACACUAAGGAAUGAUUAUCGAUUACAUGUAUAACAACUUCAAGUCUCCUUUUAGGUUUUUUCAUGAUUGGAAAAGUUAACUAUAAAACUAUUUCAUGUAUUAUACAUUUCUGUCAGUUUAGUACUUUAAGAAACAAAAUUAUCAAUUUGGUUCUUGAACUUUCAUUUCGUCAUUUACUUUGAUACUCAAAUUAAAGCAAUUACUCAACUUGCCAACAUGAUAUUAACAUCUAAUAAGAUACUGACAUGUGUCAAAAAGUUUAGUCACUACCAUAUCAUCAAUUACCGCAUCAAUACUAAAAAAAUUCAAAAAAAAUUUAAAAAUCUAAAAUAUUUUUAAAAAUUAGAAAAAUUAAAUAAAUAUGAAAUCCUUUUUAAUUAUAAAAAUAAAAAAAAUAUGAAAACUUAAAAAAUUUCAUAAAAUCUCAAAAUUUUAACAAAAAGUCCAAAAACAAUCCAAAAAAUUCUAACAAAUUAAAAAAAAAAAAAGGUUCACAAAAAAUAAAAAAUCUAGAAUAUUUUGACAAAAUUUGAAAAUUUAAAAAAAAUUAAUUUUUCUUAAAAUCUAAAAUUUUAUAAAAUAUUUUCAAAAAUUAUGAAAAAAUUAAAAUCAUUUCAAAAAUAUGAAAUAUUCUAAGAAAUUUAUUAAAAAUUAAAUUUUUUUUGAAAAAUAUAAAAUAAAAAACUUAAAAUUUUCAUAAAAAUCCAUAAAAAUUUAAAAAAAUGUAAAAAAAUCGCAAAAUUUAUAAAAAAAUUAAAUUUGUGUGAUUAAAAAAAUAAAGAAUUUUCCUAAUUUAUAAAGAUUACAACUAUUUUAAAAUUUUUAGAUUUUUUCAAAAAAGUUUAGAUCUUUUACUUUCAAUUUUUUAAAAUUUUAGAGUUUUUUUUUUAAAUUUAUGAAAACUUUAUGCUUACUAAAAUUAUCAUUUUUACGAAAAUUUGAAAAAAAAUUUUAUUUUUGUAAUAAAAUUUUGAGAUUUUUUUUGAAUUUUUUAAGUUUUAAUAAUUUUUAAAAAAAUUUUAAAAUUUUUUGUUUUUGUUUUUUAAAAUAAUUUUUUAAAAUGCUUAAAUAUUUUUAAAAAAAUUUUAAAAUUUUUUAGAAUUUUUCUUUAAAUUCGGAUGUAAUAUUGAUGAUUUGACGUUGAUUAGAUUUUCUUAGCAUGUGUUAAUAUCUUAUUAAAUAUUUAUACCACGUCAAUAAAUUUACAGAUGGCGUUAGUCUCCGGUAACAAAGUGAUGACAGAAUGAAAAUUAGAGUAACAAACUAAAUAUUUUAUUUUUUUGGUGCCUAAUUGAUAAAAUAUGUAUAAUAAAUGGGCCAUUUUUAUAUUUAACCAUUUUGGAAAGACCAACAUUACCUUAAAAAGUACAUAUUACUUACCUUAUAUAGUUAAAAUUAUAUCAAUUAGUAAUCAAAUUUUUAUUAUUUAUCUUAAAUCAUUCUUAAUUAAAUUAAAUUAUUUAUUUUUAAUAUGCCACUUCAUCAUAAAUACAAAUGAAUAGCCUUCAAUGUGGUAGAGUAUUGGUUUGAAGAUCUAUUUCACAACUUUUAUUUUGUUUUGGUUCUCGUUUUAGUUUUUUUAUUUGAUCCAUUUGUUUGUUUCUUCAUUCUUUCAUUUGUUUUUUAUAACUGAUUUUUUUAUAUUUUUCAAUAAAUCAAAUUUUAAUUUUAAUUCAUAAAUGUUACUUAUUGAUGAAUAAUCAUUAAUAAAACUAUCAUGCAUAUUGCCAAAACCAUACUAAGUUUCUGAAAAGCAAUCAAAUUCUUUGCUUUCUUUACAAUUUUCACUUUUUAGGGAUCUUAUCUAUCCGUGUAAAUUAUACCAAGAUACAAAAGUUCUCAUUCCUUUUAUCAAUUAAGUAAUCAAAUUUAUAAAAUUAAUAACUUGUGAGUAUGGGUAUAUUAUUGACACCUCUAAAUAGCAAUGCUCUCCUUAUUAAUAUGGCAGAUUGGAUACAUCAAGUUCCAAACCAAGUAGAUCAGGAGAGGUUCAAUGUUUUUCUAACAAUUGCUCGGGCUAUUUGAUACUCCAUAAUCAAAUUUUAGGGACAGGAAUGAGAAAUAUGGAAAUUCUUACACUCAAAGGAAUAAUAUAUUCCAAACAAAGGCUUACUAUUUUCUGUAGGUUUUUUUUUUUCUUCAAUCUUUUUUGGAGAUCCCAUUGUUUCUGAGACAGCAAUAUUUUUCUUAUUGGUGUGUAGAGGUCAUGGUUUCGGAGUCAAAACCCCCUACCGCCUAAAAUUUUGUCUUUUUGUUUUAUUAAUUGAAAAAAUGAAACCGUGUCAAAAGGUUACUUUGUAUUUUAAUAGUAUAUAAAUAACCAAGUCUGCCUUCCUUACCCUCAUUCUUAUCUUUUUCUUAUUCUACAACUACUUUUUCCAUUCUUUCUCCUGUCAUAAGCUACAACUACAAUAAAAAAAGCCAUUAAUCUUUGUUUCCAGUUGGGAAAUGGAGUUUGAGCAACCCAUGUUUAGAGAAACAACGGAAGCCCUUAAAUUGAAGGCAGCAAAUGACAGUAAGACUUCAACCAGGGACAGGCAUAAGUCACCAGGAUCAACAUGCGGUUCCUAUGUUUCCAGCAAACACUUCCAUGGCUCGGAAGCAUUCAGGACUCUAGAGAUGGGUGUGCCAAAGGUUGACUCCACCGAGAAAAAGCUGUCUUGGCUACGAUCUCAAAUCAUUGGUGGUGAUGCAGAAUUUGACUCUCCUUUUGGAACUAGAAAACUUACUUACGCUGAUCAUACUGCAUCGGGACGCUCUUUUCACUAUAUCGAAAACUUCAUCGUCACCCAUGUUCUGCCAUGCUACGGUAAAGGUUUUUUUUCUUCUGAUCUUCGAUUGUGAUACUCGGAUUUAAUUAACAAAAGUGAUGGUGUCGUUUUCGAGUAUAAGAUACAUACAUAUAUAUAUAUAUAUGGGGGUUUUAGUAUUUGUCAGCUGAUCUUGGUUGGUUCGUGCGUAGGUAACACUCACACAUCUGACACUUAUGUGGGGCACAGGACGACGAAAAUGGUGCAUGAAGCGUCAAACUACAUUAAAAGAUGCCUAGGCGGGGGUCAAGAUGAUGCAAUUCUGUUUUGUGGCUCAGGCACUACGGCUGCUAUUAAAAGGCUACAAGAAGUUAUGGGGAUUACGGUACCAUCAAUUUUGAGGGACAUGGCAAUAAAUUGCUUACUUAAUGAGUAUCGAUGGGUAGUUUUUAUUGGCCCUUACGAGCACCACUCCAACUUGCUUUCUUUGCGUCAAAGCCUUGCUGAAGUUGUUGAAAUUGGUUUAGAUGAGAUUGGGUUCAUAGACAUUAAAGCACUAAGAAAACAGCUUGAGCUGUAUAAAUAAGCCAAUAGGCCUUUGCUUGGCUCAUUUUCAGCUUGUAGUAAUGUGACUGGGAUUCAAACAGAUACUCGAGAGAUUGCCAAACUUCUUCAUGAGUACGGAGGUUUUGUUUGCUUUGAUUUUGGAGAAAGGUACACAGUAAGAAUUUUCAUUUUUUGUUGUCAAGCUUUUAUAUUCGAGGUUGUCAGAAUUUAAGCUUUGAUUGUUAAAAUUAAAAGUUUAAUACUUUAAUAACAGAUCUCACAAUUAAUUAUUAGCCAAGUUUACGUAUUGUGUUAAUGUUAUAAAGCAAUGAGAAGUCGAUUUUUGAUUGUGCUUAUCAUUUUGUUUUUGUGGAUAGUGGUCCUUAUGUGGAGAUUGAUAUGAGGUCAGGGGAGAUUGAUGGAUAUGAUGCCAUUUUCCUAAGCCCACAUAAGUUUCUAGGUGGCCCUGGAUCGCCCGGCAUCCUUUUAAUGAGCAAGGCUCUCUACCAGCUAGGAUCUUCUCCUCCAUCAACUUGCGGAGGUGGAACUGUUAAUUAUGUCAAUGGUUUCAAUGAACAGGUAAUUACUCUCAAAUUGAAAAUUAAUUGAUAAUAAACGAAGAGAUUUUUAUUAUAUUUAUGUGUUCUGAUUAAUCCAAUUUAAUGGAUGAAUGAUUUUAAUUUUUGUUCACCUCUCCACUAUAAAAUGGAAAUUUGUAUUUUCUUUACCUUUUUUCUUAUUCUUGCUUAUAUAUCCCAUUUUGUAAGAAAUUUGGGUUUCUUUCUUCAACUGAACGGCAUAAAGAAUGAUUAGCUAGCUGUCACGAAUUUUGGAGUUUAGAAAUAAAUUCCUGAUUCAGAUGGAGCUGGUUUAGAUAUAGACUAGUGAAUGAUAAGUGUCCAAAAAUUUUUUUAUUUUAAUUACAAUUUUAGAAGAAAAGAGAUUUCCAACCAAAUUUCUGAAUGCGGGACGGUGUUAAUAGAAAAAUACUCUAGAGAAUGAUAAGUUUUCAUGAUAUUAAUCAGAUUCAUUCCCCAGCAAUUAGGGAAGCAGGUAUGAAAUUUAAUAUGUGGUAAAAUGGGGUAUUUAUUUUGCAGGACACAAUAUAUGUAAGUGACAUAGAAGAAAGGGAAAAUGGUGGGACUGCUCAAAUAAUUCAGAUUAUUAGAGAAGCAUUGAAUUUUUUGGGUAAAAGAAUAUAUUGGUUAUGAAGUGAGUGCAAAGCAGGAGAAGUCGUACAUAAAUCAAGCACUGGGGACGCUUCUCCCAAACCAAAACAUACGGGUUUUAGGAAAUGCAAGCACCGAGACCCAGAGACAAGCCAUACUGUCUUUCCUCAUCUACUCCACAACCAACGAUGGUAACAAUGUUGACGAGGCAGAGGAAAAGGGGAGGGGACUUUUCAUCUGGGGAGAGACUGGGAACAAGAGGGAUAAACCUCUCCAUGGCCCUUUUGUUGCAACCAUCCUAAAUGAUCUGUUUGGCAUCCAUGCUCGAGGUGGGUGUGCUUGUGGUGGACCUUAUGGCCACAGAUUGCUUGAUAUUGAUCAGACUCGAUCCCUUGCGUUCAGAGAAGCUAUUAAAAGGGUAUCAGUACAAAAUUUUCCAUUUUUUUUUUUUUUUACCAAAUGAAAGAGAAGUAAACUAUAAUUGAACUUAUCUAAUGCCAGUUGCAAAGUUUGAUUGCAGGGCUACAUAGGAGCAAAACCUGGAUGGACAAGAGUCAGCUUUCCUUACUACAUGUCAAAUGAGGAGUUUGAAUACAUUCUUGCGGCAUUGGAGUUCGCAGCAAUCUAUGGCCAACGAUUUCUUCCUCUAUACCAUUUCGACCUGAGAACUGGCAGCUGGACUUUCAAGAAGAAGGCGCUUAAGGACCAGGUAGGAAAGGAGAAUAGUCGCGGCAUCC
rnacentral:lncRNA from 1 species